UACGGGGGGGCAAGCGUUGUUCGGAAUUACUGGGCGUAAAGAGUUCGUAGGCGGUUUGUCACGUCGUUUGUGAAACUCACAGCUCAACUGUGAGCCUGCAGGCGAUACGGGCAGACUUGAGUACGUGCAGGGAGACUGGAAGUUCCUGGUGAUAGCGGUGAAAUGACGCAGACUAUCAGGAGGAACACCGGUGGCGAAGGCGGGUCUCUGGGC
rnacentral:rRNA from 1 species